rnacentral:tRNA from 1 species
ACCUCCGUGGCGCAAUCGGUUAGCGCGUUCGGUUGUUAACCGAAAGGUGGGAGGUUCGAUUCCUCCCGGUGGCG